CAGGUCCCCAAGAUCUCAGGGCUGCAGACCCUGCCUGCUCACAGAUGGGCCACUAACCCAGGGUGAGGUUUUCUGAUUUCAGAUUCUGGAGAAGUCUUUUCUCAGCUCACCUUCUCCAUCCAUUUGGUUUCCUGUGGCAGGUGCUCUGAGCACCCCAUUGUGUGACCCAGCUCACCCCGUUCCCUACUCACCUGAUGUCCUGCCUUUGCUCUGACGCUGGUGUCGGAGGUAGAAAAGAAGGAGGGAGAGCAGCAGGACGAGGGCCACCGAGACCCCGAUCAGGAUGUUCAUGUUCCAUUUGGGACCUUGGACAUGAGUGACAUCAUGAAUGAGCCAGUGAUGCCAUUGAAUGAGCACCUACUGUG